GUGGGGAAUCUUCCGCAAUGGACGAAAGUCUGACGGAGCAACGCCGCGUGAGUGAUGAAGGUCUUCGGAUUGUAAAGCUCUGUUAAUCGGGACGAAAGAGCCUAGUGUGAAUAAUGCUAGGAAGUGACGGUACCGGAAUAGAAAGCCACGGCUAACUACGUGCCAGCAGCCGCGGUAAUACGUAGGUGGCAAGCGUUGUCCGGAAUUAUUGGGCGUAAAGCGCGCGCAGGCGGAUCUGCCAGUCUGUCUUAAAAGUUCGGGGCUUAACCCCGUGAUGGGAUGGAAACUACAGAGCUAGAGUAUCGGAGAGGAAAGUGGAAUUCCUAGUGUAGCGGUGAAAUGCGUAGAUAUUAGGAAGAACACCAGUGGCGAAGGCGACUUUCUGGACGAAAACUGACGCUGAGGCGCGAAAGCCAGGGGAGCGAACGGGAUUAGAUACCCCGGUAGUCC
rnacentral:rRNA from 1 species